UGACUUCGCCACUCAUCGUCAGCUGCUCUCUCCUGCGUUGAUCGUCAGUUGCGCUCUCUUGCAUUGAUCGCGAGCUGCACCCUCACCAUCGUCGUCUCUGUGCACUGGUCAUCCUCUCUGCGCUCUGGUCGUCCUCUCUGCGCACACAUCGUCGAGAAGGGUUCAACUUGAAUACCCCUUUUUUUCCUAAUUCUCGCCAAAUCCCGUUACCCAGUUUCCGUACGCACCUGCUACCCUCUACGGUGUUGGAGUUCCUUCAAGAUGAGCUCGAGCUUCAGAGGGAAGAGAGGAAUUGCUUGUAGUGUUACUGAGCCACAUUCAGAUCCUGAGGGUGACAAUGAGGAGGUACUUUCAGUUUGCUUUGG